rnacentral:misc_RNA from 1 species
AUUGACAGACGGUCAGUACCACGGUAGAGGAGGUCAGUACAGCGAAGAAUGCAUUAUCAAUUGACAAAUAUAGAGUAGAAAGGAAAUUAACUUUUUCUGAUUUACCAGAGGAAUUAUAAAUAUAAGAGUCCAUAUUGGAAACAUAUAGUCCAGAAGGGGAACUAAUUUUGUUUCUGGUCAUGAAAACAUUGGAGGAUAUUGAAAAUGAAUUUCCCCUGCACUGGCUGGUGUGGAUCAACAACGUAGAUGAGUUAAAACGGGUGUUGAAAACGGAAACGAUCGACAAAGAAAAAGUCGAUAAUCGUGGGAGAACACCUUUAAUGUUAGCGGUAAAAUUAUCCCAUUUACAAUGUGUGAAGUGCCUUUUAGCAGCAAAAUGUAACGCCAGCUUUGAACAUGAGGGAUGGUCAGUUGUCCAAGAAGCCGUUUGUUCAGGAGAUGAAGCUAUAUUGACGGCUAUCAUAGAAGUCCGCGAUUUGCAACGUCAUGUUCAACGGGUAACGCACGUACCGAAACUGCUGCAGCACUUAUUAGACGCUCCUGAUUUCUACAUUGAAAUGAAAUGGGAAUUUACAUCUUGGGUACCCCUAAUGUCUCGUCUUUGUCCUAGUGACACAUACAAAGUUUAUAAACGUGGCGCGAAUGUCCGAAUCGAUACCACACUGCUUGGCUUUGAUAACAAUACUUGGCAACGAGGGAAUCGCUCCUAUAUUUUCAAAGGAGCAAAAGACUCUGCCGUAAUGAUUGAAAUCGAUCAUGACACUCAUGAAGUCAUGGAGGAACAAAUGAAUAGUGAUAUAGGAGAUAUUGUGGCAAUUCCACCCCCAAUUGGAGCUGUCCGUGCUAGGCUUAAUGCGCCUGUUAUUACGAACAACAUUGAAAUGGAUAAGAUAAGCUUUGAACGCAAUAAAUCAGGGAUUUGGGGCUGGCGUAGUGAAAAGUCCGAGAUGAUAAACGGAUAUAAUUGCAAAGUGUAUGGUGCGAGCAAUGUUGAGUUUAUAACACGCACCCGAAUGGAUCAUUUGAAUGAAGAGCAAAUAAAGAAUAAAUGUGCGCGCACGCCAUUGCAUAGCUUUUUAGGUAUUUCUGAUGAUGAAGUUUCCAGUACACGCUCUAAUGAAGGAAUAAAUUCCAAAGAUCGGACACCCUCUCCCUCCUUUGAAACAUUGGGUCGUGAGGAAUGUCUUGAAAAUAGUACAGGAGAAGAGAAUGCUAGUUGUAGUUCAGGUACUACUUCACCUAAGUUCGUUAUUACUCCAGAGGCGUACUUUUCUGUCGAUGUUGAUUUAAAUGGAUGCGACAUUGGGCGUCCCAAGAAAGUCACAACUAAGGUUCAGAGAUUUAAGGCUAAUUUAUGGCUUUCCGAAGAGUAUCCUAUGCGAUUGCAAGAACAAGUUCUUCCUAUAUUGGAUUUGAUGUCAACAAUGGCGAGUCCACAUGUCUCCAAAUUGAAAGACUUUAUUACCAUGCAGCUGCCAUCGGGUUUCCCUGUAAAAGUUGAAAUACCUCUAUUCCAUGUCUUAAAUGCAUGUAUUACAUUUGGCAAUGUAUUUGGUAUGACAAGCGCUGUAGAAAAUGUAACGACUAUUAACGAAGACGAUCGCAUAACCUGCAUUGUGGAUGACCGCUGCUUUGAUAUACCAACCCAUUAUUCCAAUAGAGAUGUGGACUUACGACGACAAUUACCUUUGGAGGAAGAUGAUAUGUUACAAUACGCCAUUGAACAAAGCAUGGUACAAACCACGAACAGAGCUGCUUCUAUACAAAAUAUUACAGAGGAUACGGAUAAAGUGGAUAUAUGGGAAGCAUUACGUGGGCAAGGAACCGAUGGAGUUCCAGAUGAAGACGAACAGUUACAGAGAGUUCUACAGGAGUCAUUAUGCGGUGCAGUACAUACCACUGACUCCCCAGUGAUAGACGAUGAUGAUGGCGGUUUUCGAUACGUGGAUCCUGAUUUAGCAAUGGCUUUGCGCCUUAGCCGUCAUGAUCAGGAAGAAUAUGAAUUGGCUUUGCAGCGAGAACAAGAAAUGCUUGAGCAGGCCUUGAAGUUGAGUCUGCAAGAGAACUAAUUUUCUGUUUUUUUUUUUCGUGCAUUCACUUGUGGAAGGAAAAACUAACAAAUUUAAUAAACUGAAUUCUCGUGUAUUUCCAGCGAUUAUAAACAGCUACCUAAUCGGGGGCGGAGAGGUGAUAACAAAAGUUUUUGUUGAAUACAAGUGUUUGUAAAUUAUUAUAAAAAAAAUUGAUAAAACAUAUUAAAAUUUGGAACAAAAUUAAUGUAUAAAUAACAUCCAUAUUCGUUGAUUCGCCUUAAUUUAAAAUAAAUACUUCGCCAUUUAUUUAAACAUAGGCCUCUUACAAUCCCAAAACAUGUAUGUUUGUCCCGGCUUUUCGUGGGAACUGAAUAGUCAAGCAAUCCGGAGGUUGCCAUCACCUCCUUUUAAUAAAACUUUAUUAUAAGCGUAUAAGAGUGCUUUGUGAAUUCUAAAAUGUUUAUCAAUUGAACUGAAAGUAUUUUAGGUAUAAAACUUAAUGAAUAAAGCAGUAGAGAUAUACAUGAUGAAAAUACUACAUUAAAUCCACUGUAUACAUAACAUAACCUAAUAAGAAAAUUAGAUGUUAAUGAUUUUGUUAAUAAAUAAAAUAUGCAAUAUAAAUUAA